rnacentral:ncRNA from 2 species
UGACCCCGCGCGGGAGAGUCCUCCGGAGAGCGUUCCGGAGGCGCCGAAGGAGCAAAUCCUCCCCGGAAUCUCUCAGGCUCAGGUACCGCACGGGUGAG